AGUUUAAUUCUUAAAGUAUUGUAACGUUUUUAGGUUGUGUAAAUUCCUUUUUUCUAUUUUAAUCUAUAUCAUUGAAAUCUGGUGGUGUUUGUUUUCUUGUUGAGCAGACUCGAAGGUCCGGAUUUGGAUAUUUAAACUACAUCUGAACAAUCUAACUAUCUGUAGCAGAGAAGAAAAUAAAGAUGAAGUUUUCUGUUUGUUUAAUCACCUGCCUGCUGUUUGUUUCCGUCGAAGUUUCAGCGAACAAGGUAGCUGAAAGUGUACAGAGGGAAACUGGAUUUAUUCGAAUCCUUACAAAAAGAGGUGUACCAUUGUUCCCAACGCACAUUCCUCCAAUGCCAUCUUUACCAACGCCAAUUUUACCAACGCUACCAGUUCCUACCACUGCUGCGACAAUCUGAACAUGUUUUGUUACCUUUGAAUUUCAACAAAUGAAAAAAACAA